CGCGCAGGCGGCCAAGUAAGUCAGAUGUGAAAGCCCGGGGCUCAACCCCGGAAGUGCAUUUGAUACUGCUCGGCUUGAGUAUGGGAGAGGGAAGUGGAAUUCCUGGUGUAGAGGUGAAAUUCGUAGAUAUCAGGAGGAACACCGGUGGCGAAGGCGACUUCCUGGACCAAUACUGACGCUGAGGCGCGAAGGCGUGGGGAGCAAACA
rnacentral:rRNA from 1 species